GAUGAACGCUGGCGGCGUGCCUAAUACAUGCAAGUCGAGCGAAUGGGUUAAGAGCUUGCUCUUAUGAAGUUAGCGGCGGACGGGUGAGUAACACGUGGGUAACCUGCCCAUAAGACUGGGAUAACUCCGGGAAACCGGGGCUAAUACCGGAUAACAUUUUGAACCGCAUGGUUCGAAAUUGAAAGGCGGCUUCGGCUGUCACUUAUGGAUGGACCCGCGUCGCAUUAGCCAGUUGGUGAGGUAACGGCUCACCAAGGCAACGAUGCGUAGCCGACCGGAGAGGGUGAUCGGCCAGACUGGGACUGAGACACGGCCCAGACUCCUACGGGAGGCAGCAGUAGGGAAUCUUCCGCAAUGGACGAAAGUCCGACGGAGCAACGCCGCGUGAGUGAUGAAGGCUUUCGGGUCGUAAAACUCUGUUGUUAGGGAAGAACAAGUGCUAGUUGAGUAAGCUGGCACCUUGACGGUACCUAACCAGAAAGCCACGGCUAACUACGUGCCAGCCGCCGCAGUAA
rnacentral:rRNA from 1 species